GGUAAUGGUGAGAGGUUAACAUGUUUUGUUGUAGUCUCUGUUAUUGGUAAUGGUGAGAGGUUAGCAUGUUUUGUUGUAGCCUCUGUUAUUGGUAAUGGUGAGAGGUUAGCAUGUUUUGUUGUAGUCUCUGUUAUUGGUAAUGGUGAGAGGUUAGCAUGUUUUGUUGUAGUCUCUGUUAUUGGUAAUGGUGAGAGGUUAGCAUGUUUUGUUGUAGUCUCUGUUAUUGGUAAUGGUGAGAGGUUAGCAUGUUUUAUUGUAGCCUCUGUUAUUGGUAAUGGUGAGAGGUUAGCAUGUUUUGUUGUAGUCUCUGUUAUUGGUAAUGGUGAGAGGUUAGCAUGUUUUGUUGUAUCCUCUGUUAUUGGUAAUGGUGAGAGGUUAGCAUGUUUUGUUGUAGCCUCUGUUAUUGGUAAUGGUGAGAGGUUAGCAUGUUUUGUUGUAGUCUCUGUUAUUGGUAAUGGUGAGAGGUUAGCAUGUUUUGUUGUAUCCUCUGUUAUUGGUAAUGGUGAGAGGUUAGCAUGUUUUGUUGUAGUCUCUGUUAUUGGUAAUGGUGAGAGGUUAGUAUGUUUUGUUGUAGUCUCUGUUAUUGGUAAUGGUGAGAGGUUAGUAUGUUUUGUUGUCGUCUGUUAUUGGUAAUGGUGAGAGGUUAGUAUGUUUUGUUGUAGCCUCUGUAACUUUCUCACUCAUUAUUAUUCAUGAUUCUUUCAUGAUUUUUCUUAAUCAUGGCAUCAUCAGGAUUAAUUUAUUAUUGUUUAGAAACAUGUUAUCUACUCUCUUAGACAGAAAAGUACUCCACUCAUCAUCCACCAUUUUAUUAUUGGGCAAAACACAACCAAAAACACAACCAAAACACACUGCAAAUGCAAACAAUGACUUUACGACCAAAUUUCAAUGAAUAUGGGACCAAUUACCUUUGACUACUUUAA